GUCAAGUCAGCACGGCUCUUACGUCGAGGGCUACACACACGCUACAAUGGCCGGUACAACGGGCUGCGAAGGGGCGACCUGGAGCUAAUCCCACCAAAGCCGGUCUCAGUUCGGAUCGCAGGCUGCAACUCGCCUGCGUGAAGUCGGAGUUGCUAGUAACCGCUGGUCAGCACACAGCGGUGAAUACGUUCCCGGGCCUU
rnacentral:rRNA from 1 species